AUUGAACGCUGGCGGCAGGCCUAACACAUGCAAGUCGAGCGGAUGAAGGGAGCUUGCUCCUGGAUUCAGCGGCGGACGGGUGAGUAAUGCCUAGGAAUCUGCCUGGUAGUGGGGGAUAACGUCCGGAAACGGGCGCUAAUACCGCAUACGUCCUGAGGGAGAAAGUGGGGGAUCUUCGGACCUCACGCUAUCAGAUGAGCCUAGGUCGGAUUAGCUAGUUGGUUGGGUAAAGGCCUACCAAGGCGACGAUCCGUAACUGGUCUGAGAGGAUGAUCAGUCACACUGGAACUGAGACACGGUCCAGACUCCUACGGGAGGCAGCAGUGGGGAAUAUUGGACAAUGGGCGAAAGCCUGAUCCGGCCAUGCCGCGUGUGUGAAGAAGGUCUUCGGAUUGUAAAGCACUUUAAGUUGGGAGGAAGGGCAGUAAGUUAAUACCUUGCUGUUUUGACGUUACCAACAGAAUAAGCACCGGCUAACUUCGUG
rnacentral:rRNA from 1 species